AUUGAACGCUGGCGGCAUGCUUUACACAUGCAAGUCGAGCGGCAGCGCGGGGCAACCUGGCGGCGAGCGGCGAACGGGUGAGUAAUAGAUAGGAACGUGUCCGAGAGUGGGGGAUAACUAGCCGAAAGGUUAGCUAAUACCGCAUAUUCUGUACGCAGGAAAGCGGGGGAUCGCAAGACCUCGCGCUCACGGAGUGGCCUAUCUCCGAUUAGCUAGUUGGUGAGGUAAAGGCUUACCAAGGCGACGAUCGGUAGCUGGUCUGAGAGGAUG
rnacentral:rRNA from 1 species